rnacentral:rRNA from 1 species
UGGGGAAUAUUGGACAAUGGGCGCAAGCCUGAUCCAGCCAUGCCGCGUGAGUGAUGAAGGCCUUAGGGUUGUAAAGCUCUUUUAGCGGGGAAGAUAAUGACGGUACCCGCAGAAAAAGCCCCGGCUAACUUCGUGCCGGCAGCCGCGGUAAUACGAAGGGGGCUAGCGUUGCUCGGAAUUACUGGGCGUAAAGCGCACGUAGGCGGACUCUUAAGUCGGUGGUGAAAUCCUGGAGCUCAACUCCAGAACUGCCUUCGAUACUGGGAGUCUUGAGUUCGGGAGAGGUGAGUGGAACUGCGAGUGUAGAGGUGAAAUUCGUAGAUAUUCGCAAGAACACCAGUGGCGAAGGCGGCUCACUGGCCCGAUACUGACGCUGAGGUGCGAAAGCGUGGGGAGCAAACA